GAUCCUCGCUGAACGACAGAAAAACGG
rnacentral:piRNA from 1 species